rnacentral:rRNA from 1 species
GUAGGGAAUCUUCCACAAUGGACGAAAGUCUGAUGGAGCAACGCCGCGUGAGUGAAGAAGGGUUUCGGCUCGUAAAACUCUGUUGUUAAAGAAGAACAUAUCUGAGAGUAACUGUUCAGGUAUUGACGGUAUUUAACCAGAAAGCCACGGCUAACUACGUCCCAG